rnacentral:rRNA from 1 species
GACGAACCGUGCGAACGUUGUUCGGAAUCACUGGGCUUAAAGGGCGCGUAGGCGGGCCGGACGGUCCGGGGUGAAAUCCCCCCGCUCAACGGGGGAACGGCCUCGGACACCGCCGGCCUCGAGGGGGGUAGGGGCGAGCGGAACGCUGGGUGGAGCGGUGAAAUGCGUUGAUAUCCAGCGGAACUCCGGUGGCGAAGGCGGCUCGCUGGACCACUUCUGACGCUGAGGCGCGAAAGCCAGGGGAGCGAACGGG